CUCUCAUCGCCUGCAGUGAGACAGAGGCUGUAAAGAGAUGCAGAUGGGCGCAUCCUCAGGUAAUCCACUCGUUUAUUAAGAGGAUUGAUGGAUCUGAAGCAAACGCAAUGAUGCAAAGCCCACAUCUAUCUUGGCUGAGGGAUGUGGUCCGCCGACAGGCUGGGAGGAGGAAUUACACGCACGAGCACGACGGCCCCUCAUAAAUCACUGCCGCCCAGGGAAAGUGUCACGUUCCAGCGCUUGGUGGGAAUCGGGCAGAGGAAACAGGAAGGGGAGCCGAUGACAACAUCUGGUUGUGAUUUCAGAGAUGCGGGUGAAAUAUGAAAUCGAAACGAGCCUUGCAGAAAUACAUGUUUCAGCAGC